rnacentral:rRNA from 1 species
AGUGAACGCUGGCGAUAGGCCUGACACAUGCAAGUCGAACGGCAGCACAGUAAGAGCUUGCUCUUACGGGUGGCGAGUGGCGGACGGGUGAGGAAUACAUCGGAAUCUACUUUUUCGUGGGGGAUAACGUAGGGAAACUUACGCUAAUACCGCAUACGACCUACGGGUGAAAGCAGGGGAUCUUCGGACCUUGCGCGAUUGAAUGAGCCGAUGUCGGAUUAGCUAGUUGGCGGGGUAAAGGCCCACCAAGGCGACGAUCCGUAGCUGGUCUGAGAGGAUGAUCAGCCACACUGGAACUGAGACACGGUCCAGACUCCUACGGGAGGCAGCAGUGGGGAAUAUUGGACAAUGGGCGCAAGCCUGAUCCAGCCAUACCGCGUGGGUGAAGAAGGCCUUCGGGUUGUAAAGCCCUUUUGUUGGGAAAGAAAAGCAGCAGGUUAAUACCCCGCUGUUCUGACGGUACCCAAAGAAUAAGCACCGGCUAACUUCGUG